CUUCACAUGAUCCCAUGCCCUUCUCUGAACAUAAUACUUGUGUUUCAAGCGUGCCUUUUGCUACUCUCAUCUGCCUGUUCAUCAUUUGCUUCAUAUCUCAAGCCUAAUUCCAGGUGAUGAGCGAUGAGUUGGAGCUGUUGGCCUUGGCACGUGCGGCCAAACCGAGGGAUCCCACCGUUGUCAAUUGCUGUGCUGGCGUUGUCUGUCUUUGGGUCCUAGUCCUAGGCCAGUUUCCAAACAUGGCGUCCCGGAACGGCGGAACCCCACAUGGAAGAACCAGCUGCACAUGAAAGUACUGUGCUCACUGUUCACACUUCCAUCCAGAGUUGCAUGAAGGUACUGUGCUUCCAAAGUAUUGGAUAGAGUUUCGAUACGGCAUGUGCUGUGCUGCGCAUCUCUUGAGCAUUUCACAUUUUUGGCGACGAUAAUGUUUAUCUUCUUUCUUUUCGGGGAAGUGUUCCUAAUUCCAGUGUUUGGUCCAAUCCUAAUUGAUUUGGCUUGUGCUGUGGAUC